rnacentral:rRNA from 1 species
GAUGAACGCUGGCGGCGUGCCUAAUACAUGCAAGUCGAGCGAACAGACGAGGAGCUUGCUCCUCUGACGUUAGCAGCGGACGGGUGAGUAACACGUGGAUAACCUACCUAUAAGACUGGGAUAACUUCGGGAAACCGGAGCUAAUACCGGAUAAUAUUUUGAACCGCAUGGUUCAAAAGUGAAAGACGGUCUUGCUGUCACUUAUAGAUGGAUCCGCGCUGCAUUAGCUAGUUGGUAAGGUAACGGCUUACCAAGGCAACGAUGCAUAGCCGACCUGAGAGGGUGAUCGGCCACACUGGAACUGAGACACGGUCCAGACUCCUACGGGAGGCAGCAGUAGGGAAUCUUCCGCAAUGGGCGAAAGCCUGACGGAGCAACGCCGCGUGAGUGAUGAAGGUCUUCGGAUCGUAAAACUCUGUUAUUAGGGAAGAACAUAUGUGUAAGUAACUGUGCACAUCUUGACGGUACCUAAUCAGAAAGCCACGGCUAACUACGUG